CUCCACUGGUAUUUAAUUCACGCAUAAACCUACAGUUCAGUCCGCGGCACCUAGAUCUUAAUAUCAAAACGCGAUGAAUCUUCGACGGUGCUGUACUUCGAGUUUCAUAAGGCAGUGUGUUUGCCAUCGUCUUGCUUUGUCUUUGCAUUUUAUUCAGUUCUGUUUCCAUGAUCAUCUAGGUUAGUAUGGGGUUUAAGCAUUUUGAUGUGAUUUAUGCAAUUGGGAUGUAAUUGAAUAUGAUAUAUAAAAUGGACUUUUUGCUUAUGCAUCUUUUUUGUUUGAAACCUAAUUGGUUUUCCCUGUUGCGUGUUUCGGUGGUAAGGUUGAAGGUUGGGGAGGUGGUGGGAGCGAGUUUGGUGGUGCGUUUCUGGUGUAUACGUUUCCGAUGUGUGCGACAGAGGAGAGGGAGCUACAAACUUCACUCUUAUCCUUGGAUUUGGAGAUUUAAGUUUGUGGCAAUGAACACUAUUGAAGAAGUUGAGAAUGCUAUGGAGAAAUUCAAUAGCUAUAGACUGCGAUGAAGAAUAAGAUCGAUGAGUUGAAGGAGGCUCUAUCUGAUUCAAGGAAGAAAAUUUCUUGUCUAGAAGAGAGAAUUGUGAAGGAAUAAUCAGAUAAAUUGGUUUCACAGGACGAGACUAUAAAGCAAAAUGAACAGGGCUUGAAAAUUGAAUCUGAGCUUCUUGGAAUCCUAGUGCACCAUUUCCCCAUUCGUAUAUUUUCUGUAAGAAAUUCUUACUGCUAAGUAUAAAUACACUUUGAUAAAAACUGCUAAGUAUAAAUACACAUUUCCCCAUUCACUCAUUCUGCAGGUAUAAAUACACAGUUCUAUGUAGGUUGAUAACAGGUUUUUACAGAGUUAAUAUACAAUU